UCCGCCGUGGUGUAGUGGUUAGCAUUGGUCGCUUUCAUGGACAGAAUCACUUCUGAACUUCUAGUGCCGACUAGACCCGGGUUCAAUUCCCGGCGGCGGAA